UACGUAGGGUGCGAGCGUUGUCCGGAAUUAUUGGGCGUAAAGAGCUCGUAGGCGGCUAAGUAAGUCAGGUGUGAAAACUCCAGGCUCAACCUGGAGACGCCACCUGAUACUGCUUUGGCUAGAGUCCGGUAGGGGAGCAUGGAAUUCCUGGUGUAGCGGUGAAAUGCGCAGAUAUCAGGAGGAACACCAGUGGCGAAGGCGGUGCUCUGGGCCGGAACUGACGCUGAGGAGCGAAAGCGUGGGGAGCAAACAGG
rnacentral:rRNA from 1 species